rnacentral:rRNA from 1 species
AGUGAACGCUGGCGGUAGGCCUAACACAUGCAAGUCGAACGGCAGCACAGGAGAGCUUGCUCUCUGGGUGGCGAGUGGCGGACGGGUGAGGAAUACAUCGGAAUCUACUCUGUCGUGGGGGAUAACGUAGGGAAACUUACGCUAAUACCGCAUACGACCUACGGGGGAAAGCAGGGGACCUUCGGGCCUUGCGCGAAUGAAUGAGCCGAUGUCGGAUUAGCUAGUUGGCGGGGUAAAGGCCCACCAAGGCGACGAUCCGUAGCUGGUCUGAGAGGAUGGUCAGCCACACUGGAACUAAGACACGGUCCAGACUCCUACGGGAGGCAGCAGUGGGGAAUAUUGGACAAUGGGCGCAAGCCUGAUCCAGCCAUACCGCGUGGGUGAAGAAGGCCUUCGGGUUGUAAAGCCCUUUUGUUGGGAAAGAAAUCCAGCUGGCUAAUACCCGGUUGGGAUGACGGUACCCAAAGAAUAAGCACCGGCUAACUUCGUGCCAGCAGCCGCCGUAA